rnacentral:lncRNA from 1 species
GAUACCUUCAUCUCUCUCAGACCAAAUCCCUAAUCUCCAUCCUUCGUGUCUUCAUCUUUCUUCAGGUCCCGUAGCCACAGCCACCCACCCCAGUCGCCAGUCCCACAGCCAUCCACCGGCCACCCACCCUGCCACCCACUCGCCAAAGCCAGUCUCUUCUCUCCAUCCGUUGCCGCUUCAGUCCCGCAGCUAUGGCCACCCACCCACCCAAUCGCCAGUCCCACAGCCACCCACC